CAGCCCCUGGGCUUCCACUGAAACUAAUACUGGAUCCAACUUUUAACACUGAUAAUAUGUUGCCACCAAAUUGAAAACGUAAACAAGAUAUUCUAAGUGUGAUUAGAGUAUAUGCAACACAAGGAAGAAGCAGAACAUUCUUUUCCGGAAUCUGACAACGUGGCCGCAGUGUUUUUACUGGGAACAUUGAUUUCAGAUGUAUGUGAAAUACAAUAAACCGAAAACUAGAGACAGAUGAGACAGAGAGAGGUUAAUUAGAAAAAGAUUAUGGUAUCUAAGCAAAAUCUAGCCUCCUAGGCCCACCUUAAUCCCUCUUAAAUCCCCCAUCCCAACUCUGUUAACUAGUUAUCGUUCUCUUCUGAAGAGAUCGCACCUUCCUUGUGGUUCUCAGGGAUCCUCCCCAGCUCUUACUCUACUCCCCAUCCCGCGCACUGGGAUAGCCCCAUGCCCAUGUCCUUCCCCGCAGGCAGUGUUUCCAGCGAGGUGGUCCCACUGAACUUCUAGGGAUUUGGGGCAGAAAGCGAAUAUCCCAGAGUCCCAGAGCCCACGGGAGUUACUCUGGAGGGCCAGCCACAGAGGCGCACCAGUGGGUAACCAGCCACCUCCCACCACCCACCACCCGGAGGCUGGGCCAGCCCCUUUUUUCCGGACUCGGGAUCGACCUGGAGCUCCGAGAAUUUUCCUGGCCCAGUCAAGCAUGAAAAGGGUUCGCCGAUCUCGAGAAGCCAGAGAACCAGGGCUGCAGGCACCUCCCCGCCUGCUCUCCCGCUCCUGGCACAACCGUCUGACCAGCCUGCCGAGCCCCACCGCCCGCGCCGCGCCCCCGGCCGCCCCCGGCGCUCCCCGGCUCCUGCGGGCAGCGCUGCUGCUCCUGCUCCUGGUCGCCGCCGGCCAGCGUGCCGCAGGAGAAUCCGUGGUCAAUGAACUGAGCUGCCAAUGCUUGCAGAUCCUGCAGAGAAUUCACCGCCAAGAACACGUGAAAUGUGAACAAGUCCCCAGGAUCCCACUGCGCCCAAACCGAAGGCACUUAAGUCCCGCCGCACCCUCCCGCUGCCAACGCUGGGGUCUUAGACCUUCCGGCCGCCCCACCCUGUGUGGAACCCGACCUCCUGUCUCACGGGAUCCCCUUCUCUCAGCAGAACCACAUUCAAGAAUGAGCAGAAAGCUUGUCUGAACCCCGCAUCCCCCGUGGUUCAGAAAAUCAUCAAAAAGAUGCUGCGCAUCUUUUUUCCAUGUACACAGACGACCAGAGCCAUUGGUCAGAAAUACUGGCAUCUGCCCUCUAAAAAUAAAAUCAAGGAAACCCAGGGGUUAGCUGAAGGACUAGAAAUUGUGAUUAUUAUUUUCACAAUUAAAUUUGCCGUUAAGAUUAUUAAUCUGCUCUGGUGCCAGAGGAUAUUUCAGUAUUUCAGUGUCCUCCUUUCUCAGGUCUAAGCCCUACUGAAAUAAGUGAGGGUAAAUAUAUAUUUCUUUCUUUUUUUAAAUAUAUAUAUUUUAUUGUGUUUUAGGUUUUGGGGUACAUGUGAAGAAUAUGCAAGAUAGUUGCACAGGUACAUGCAUGCAUGGCAAUGUGGUUUGCUGCCUUCCUCCUCAUCACCUGUAUUUCUAAAACAUUAAGUGAAUUUGGCUAAUGAUGCUAAAAUGCCUUCUACCUAUUUCAGGAUAAUGUUUAUCUCACUCCCUAACGGGCUUCAGACCUGAAAACUGAAUCUCCCUGAUUUGAGGCACAGUGGAACUCUUAAGUCUUCAUGGUGAAGAGUAGAGACUUUGCAGUAAGACCCUCACGAGUUGUUCGAGGCUCUAUGUCUUAGUAUCCUGAGUCUUAACAAACUGUGAAAACAAUAAAAACUACUUCAAAAGGUUUGCUAUAAACCUUAUGUGAGGUCAUGCAUGUAGAUUUUUAACCCAUUUAUAACCUUUGUUUCACUUUUUGAAGCAAAUAAUACAGUUGUAAUCACAGAUCCUCUAUUUCUAGUUAAAUAGUAUCCAGAAGCCUGGGGUUUUAUUUUGCUACACAGAACAACUCUCAUACCGGUAAUAACCACUUAGUGAGGGGCUAGAAGGAACGACCACGUUUGAAAAACCAUAGAAGGUAAGGAUCUAAGGCAGGAACAGGUGUCUGCAUGGUCAGUUUCUUGAGUAGCUACUGACAGCUAUCAUUUUUUCACCACAGGGGCAACACCAACUGACCUAGAGGGAAGGAGGAAGCAUAUCAGCUGCAAUUCCUAAAGGAGGUCUAUUCUUAGAGGAAUCAAAAUGAAAGAGAAAAAAAUUAGUUCCUGGGCACACCUGGACUUUGUUUAAUGUGUUUAACUGUUUCUUAUGAAGGUAGUUCUAAUUAUGUAUGUAUGUAUUUUUCAAAGCCUGUAUGUUAAGGUUCUUUCUGAUAUUGAAAGAUAUGGAUAUGUUUGUUAAUUCACUGUAAUGUUAUUCUGAAAGUUAUUUUUUGUGUUAAAUCAAAGUUUAGUCCUUACUGUCAUCUAACUUGAAGAUGAUGGAUUUUACAUGUUCUCUAUUCGUUAAGUGGUGAUGGAGAGUUCACAUCAUGUCAGACAUUGUGAUAGUGGCUGAAAAUAAAUAGUGGGGAUCCAAGCUGAUAGAUCCCUGUUAAGAUAAAGGCAUGUAUGUCCCAUCUCUUGUAACUGUUUAGAAGAAUGUCAGUUGUUAUUUAUCAAAACUUCCAACAUAUCUGAUAUUGAAGCUUUAAAAACUACAAUGUCCUAAUUAUCCUUUGGAUAUUUUAUGUCUUCCUUGUGAGGCAUAAUGCUUUAUUUUGUAUUAAUUAUGCAAUGAUUCUCUAUGAUUUGGAAUAAUAUAGUUUAUUUACUGAUGUAUUUUAACACAAAAAAUACAUGAAAAUAAAACCUUUCCAAAAAAAUCACACCU
ensembl:lncRNA